UACGAAGGGGGCUAGCGGUGUUCGGAUUUACUGGGCGUAAAGCGCGUGUAGGCGGGUCGUUAAGUUGGUGGUGAAAUCCCGGAGCUCAACUCCGGAACUGCCUCCAAAACUGGCGACCUGGAGCAGAGGAGAGGCGAGUGGAAUUCCGAGUGUAGAGGUGAAAUUCGUAGAUAUUCGGAGGAACACCAGUGGCGAAGGCGACUCGCUGGACUCUUGCUGACGCUGAGCCGCGAAAGCGUGGGGAGCAAACAGG
rnacentral:rRNA from 1 species